CAAGCAUUUUUGGAAGUUGUUCACUUUAGCGUAGCAAAGGUUGAUUCUCUCGCGUGCCAAGGAGGGUAUAACAUGUUUGCAUUGAUGGUUAAGUAAAAACAACACUUACGCAAAAAGGUUUACACAAAAUGUUCUUUACUGUGCAUUAAAAAUAAUCUCGGUGAAAAAACUCGGAUUCCAAUCUCACAUUAUCAAUCAAAUGCGAAUAAUUAGAAUCUGACACUUGGAGCCAAAGUUUUUGAAUUUUGAAUCUACUCAUCUGAAUGCUUACAUGUUCGAAUGUAUAGAUCUACCAAAAUACGUAUCCAAAUCGUUACGUUGCAGUUUUACGAGUGUAUAUAGAAUCCCACAAGACUACCGUCAUUGGGAGUGACAAUGGGUCAGAGGGGCGAGAUUGGGUCAAAAUGUUAUCUGAAAUAUCUCAUCAGAUAUGUAUUGCGAAUAUGGAAUUAAACAUUUUAUGGUGCCAUCCUCGUAGUUGCCAGCAGUUCCUUUCAAAAAAUGAGGUUUCUAGAACAAUAAUAUAAUUUUUGAUAAAUCAUCAAAAAAAAUUCUGGCUUGAUGAAACAUCAGGUGGAUUGAUACUUUUUAGAAUUUCAAUAUCAUAGCCAUCCCAUAAUAUAUUAUUGGUAAGUAGUAUCAACCUUGACCUGAACUUUAUUAGCUUCUUUUGUUAUCAAUGCGGAACAAACUCGGUGCGAAAAAAGCGUGUGCUUCACACAAUCUUAAGUGCUUGUCUCCCGUUUUGCCGAGAGACAAGAGACGUAUGAGUGAGAGCUUUCGUAAUUGUGCGGGAGACAAUCGCAGCACUAGCUCUAUGGCGCAGGGAGUAAUGCACGGUGCUUGGGACUGUGCUUGUCUCCAAUCAGAAAAAAAUCACUUAAUAAAUUAAUUGAAGAGUUUGUGUUUUCGGCAAAGUUGUUCAGCUUGUCAAGGGUUGACAAGUGAUGGCUCGUUUGAUUCGAAAUUUUUCCAAUCAUGCGUAGUAUCAAGCCAGGUGCAAAGCACGGAGACAAGCACCGAGAGAGUGCAUACGACAGAGCGUGAGAGACAGGAGAGCUCCAGCGCGCGGCAAAGUAAGUGAGCAACGCACAACCGAUUGCGCGUACUCGUCUCCUUCUAGUUUGUUGUGCUGUCUCGUAGCAGCGUGUGCGGCACCCAAAUAGUUUUGAGUCGCACCCUAUCCCUGGUUUUCAUACACGUGUAGCUUAAGGGAAAAUUGACGAAUUCCAAAUAUGUUUUCAUUAUUAAGACAUGGGGAUUUUUUUGUAAUUACCGAACAGGUUUGGACCGAAGGGUUUCCGAUUUCAAUGAAAAUUUCAUCAGAGCUAGAGGUCGUGGAUAAAUGAUCAUAUAUGGAAUUCAAAAAAAAUCAUUGUGGAUUAUUUUGCUAGAAAACGCUAGAAACUUCACGAUUUUUCUAAAUUUUCUUUAAUACCCCAAACUUUAAAAAAUCAACUAUGCAUCGUAGAACAAACUUUUUUAGUGAAAUCGACGCCAAAUUACCUCAGAAAUCUAAUAAAAAUUCAUUAAGAAAAAAAAUUCUUGGAAAACUUUUUACCAUAGAGAAAAAAAGUCUGAAAAUGCUGUUAAAAGUACCGUCUGUAUCAUAGAUUAUUUUCAACAAAAUUUUUCUAAGUGUAAAACUAAUAUUCUUCCUUUUGUUCUUUGACACCAAAAUGGAAUCUCUUACCGUUUUAGAGAUAUAGCCAAAAAACCAACGGCCAAUCGCUAUAUUUUCAUAGGAAGCCAGCUACAAUAGCAGCCGUUCACUUGUUGCCACAUUCGACAUUCGCAAAUUGCAACGUAACUUUGACACCAACGUGCAUUGCAGUACACUGCCAGCAUGACUGACAGCACCUCUAUGGCACUUUAUUGCUGUUUCAAUGCAACAAAUUAUCAAAUUUUGAAAUUAAUGGAUUUGUACCUAAAAAGCGUUGCAAAUAACAAGUUUACAACGAGCAAACGCAUAUUUGAACAUUUAAUUUCCAUAUCAAUCAAAGGAAUCAUAUACAAAUGGUUAGAGAUGAGAGGAUAUCAGGCAGGUACCUAAUUAUAAAUUCUCUUUAAACACAUAAAGCUUUGUUUUCUUUUUGUAGUGUGUUUGCUGCUUAACCUUUCAGUACCAGAGUUUCCCAUUGCUCAUGUGUACAUAAAUGUGACAACGAGCCUCCUACCAAAUUGUCUCCCAGCUCUUCAAAAUCGCAGUGUGCUGCGCUGCUAGGAGGCUCACGAAAAUCUGGUGGGUGCGAGCUAGGCACCUAGCUCCCGGGGAGCUCGUCUCAUGCGCUGCGUGAGCUGUUGGUAUCUUAGGUGAAAAACAACUGCUUGGUAACGAAGAACCUCAACAACUUUUUUCCGUACACAACUCAAGUGUUUGAUUGGUCUAUACGAUACGACUAGGGACUCUCAAUGCAAAGAUUAAGGUUUCAAUUCGCGUUCGUUUAGGAAGUUUUUGUCGUGAAAUUUUCUUAUUUAAUCAGCGCAUGAGACACAUCUUGAUAAAAAUUAGGCGCACGACUUUCAGUCUCAAAAUGUACAGAGCUCCUGGGAGCUCGCUUGCCAUGUGGCUCCCGCACAUGGGACUACAGCACGUGUACAUCAACUCUGUUCAGUACUCGCGCCAAUUUUUGUAACGCGAGCAGUCGCGCGUUAUAUUUUGUACAACACCCAUACAUUCUGAAAUAUCUAAGGAUCCUGAUUGUUUAGAGGAGGACUGUCUUUGGUAAAGUUGUUGUAAAUUUCAUGGGCUACUUGAUGCUGACAAAGUUGAUUCGUAAUACGUCCACUGGGCGGCGCUAGUGAGCAAUAUCAUGUUAUAUCUUAAAUCUCAGGAUCCUGAUGUAUUAGAAAGAUGGUGUCUUCGGCAAAGUUGUUUGGUAAGUCAACGGCUUACAGAUUAUUGGCCGUUUAAUUGGAAAGUCCACCACUAGGCUGGUGAGCAAAUAAACUUUAUAUUCUAUGUAUCUCGGGAUCCUGAUUACUUAGAAAGAUGGUGUCUUUGACAAAGUUGUUUGGUAGGUCAUGGACUUACGGAUGAUUCGCAGUUUAAUUUGAAAUUUCAUCACUAGGCGGUGCUAGUGGGCAAUUUCAUGUUAUAUCUUAUAUCUCAGGAUCCUGAUGUCUUAGAAAGAUGAUGUCUUCGGCAAAGUUGUUUGGUAGGUAAACGGCUUACAGAUUAUUGGCCGUUUAAUUGGAAAUUCCACCACUAGGCGGCGCUAGUGAGCAAAUAAACUUUAUAUCCUAUGUAUCUCGGGAAACCUGAUAACUUAGAAAGAUGGUGUCUUCGACAAAGUUGUUUGGUAGGUCAAGUACUUACGGAUGAUUCGCAGUUUAAUAUGAAAUUUCAUCACUUGGCGGCGCUAGUGACAACGUAAAUGUUAUAUAUUAUGUAUCUCUGGACCUUUAUUACUUAGAAAGAUAGUGUCUUCGGCAAAGAUGUUUGGUAUAUCAAGGGCUUAUAGAUGAGUGACAGUUGCGCUAGUGAGCAUGUAAAUUUUUAAUCUCAUGUAACUCAGGAUCCCGAUUAAAAAGGCACGGAACACCGUCUUCAGCCAGAGGCUGUACAGACUGAACAGAACUUAACACUAGACCUUGGACCACGACAUACAUUACAUGCACCAGUGGAUAGCAUGGUGCGGUUAUACGCUUGGUAACGCUAACCGAACGGACGCGAAGCUCCACUUUACUCAGAAAGAUGGUGUCUUCGGCAAAGUUGUUUGGUAGAUCAAAGAUCGAAUGGAGGAAAAGUUACCUCUCGUGCCGACCUUCUAAAAGAUCGAAAACUUACAGAUAGUUGUCCGUUUGAAUCGUUAUUUCACCACUAGAUGACGCUAGUGAACAUGAAAAAUGGAUAUGCAAUAGUUCUCAGGAUCCUGGUUACUAGAAGAGAGAUGGUGGUUUCGGCAAAGUUGUCAAAUAGGUUAAGUGCAUUUGGUUGGUGGGUCUUGAAAUCAAUAUUUCGCCAGUAAGUGGUGCUAAUGAGUAUGCAAAUUUUAUAUCUUAUAUAUCUCCGAGUCUGAUUACCUGGGAAGUUGAUAUCUUUCAGUUGAUUGACCAUUUGAUUCGUGCUUCUGCCACCAGAAGACGCUAGUUGUAAAUUUGCAAAAGCAUGAACGUGUUAUUAUUCAUCUAGAAAAAAAAAUCAACGAGCUGUAAAUUUUUAUGCUUCCAAAUGUUUUCCAAAUUUGAAAAUUACACAACUAGUUGAUUAUAAUUUCUUUAAAUUUGCACUUGAUUGAUUAAUUUUACAUGAAGUUCAAGCGCUUAGUAAAAUAUUUAAUAUCUGACCGUCGUAUUUCAAUAUACUCUAUCUUAAGGUUGUCAAUGUCACGGGAUAAGUACAUCCAUCCUUUAUCCACCAAACAACAAUGUCGAAGACAUCAUCUUUCUAAGUAAUCAGGAUCUUGAGAUAUAUGAGGUUCAAAAUGGGAAUGCUCACUAGUGUCACCUGGAUGUAAAAUUGCACGUCAUAUUUGUCUUCAUCAGUUAGUGUUUGAUCUACUAAACAAUUUUUGAGAAGACACCCUCUUUCUAAAGACCCGUGUAGACUAUCUGAUUUGUCGGUCUGAUUUGAGUGACUGCUCGAAAAAAAAUAUGAAAUCGUAAACAAAGGUCACUCAAAUCGCUCGAAUCAGACCGAAAAAUCAGAUAGUCUAAACGGGCCUUAAGUAAUCAGGGUCCUGAGACACAUGAGUUAUAAAAUUUGAAUACCCACUAGCGCCACCUAGAUGUGGAGUUUCAAAUCAUACGGCUCUCCAUCAGUUAGUGUUCGAUCUACUAAACAACUUUGCUGAAGACAUGAUCUUUCUAAGUAAUCAGGAUCUCGAGAUAUAUGAGUUAUAAUAUUUGAGUACUCACUUGCGCCACCUGGAUGUGGAAUUCCACAUCAUACUUGUCUUCAUCAGUUAGUGUUUGAUCUACUAAACAACUUUGCAGAAGACACCAUCUUUAUAAGUAAUCAGGGUCAUGAGAUGUAUGAGUUAUAAAAUUUCAAUGCCCACUAGCGCCACCUAGAUGUGGAGUUUCAAACCAAACGACUCUCCAUCAGUUAGUGCUUAACCAACCAAACAACUUUGCCGAAGACAUCAUCUUUCUAAGUACUCAGGAUCCUGAGUUAUAUGGGAUAGAAAAAUUACAUGCUCACUAGCGCCGCCUAUCGGUUGAAAUCUGAAUUUCUCAGAUCACCUCGCGAAGGCCCUUGAUAUCCCAAGUAACUUUGCCGAAGACACCAUAUUUCUAGAUCAUUUAGAUUUUGAAAUACACUAAUUCACAUUCAACUGUCCAUCUUAUCUUAAAUAUAGUACGUUCUUCAUAUUGCGAUUUUCAAUUUUCCGCAUUAUAAGGAGUUAUACUGUUUUCAAAAAAGGUCUUAUAAUAUUCCAAAUAAGAUAGCUGUAGAAUACAUUUGGGGUUGACAUCGAUAGAAAAGAUGGUUUCAAAGUAAUAGUCGAUAAUUCUCAUGUGUUGUACAAAGUACAACAGCGCGAUUAACGGAAGGUUACAAUUUCAUUGGUAUGUGGAUUCUUGUAUACACCAUAAUGAUAACAUUUUCCACUCAAUAUUUAGUAGCAUGAUCUGUGCAAAAUGUGUUUGUAAAAUAUACUUUAGGAGAAACACUUAUCUAAAACUUAACAGAACUUUAAAAGAUAUAUAGCAUAGAUUAGAUGAACAAACAUGUGCUAGUUAUUACGGGCAACAUAUUUGAACCAAGAGUUUACCAUGCCUACAACUUCUUAACGCGCUGAUAAAACCUUUUUGCUUUAAGCAUCCUGUUCUAAGAAGCGACACCAUUUCAACAGUGACGAUAAUAAUGUUAAGCAAUAGCAUAGCAUAGCAUAGCAUAGCCGACCGUACACAUCCUGGGGUGGCUGUCGAUAGAGACGUUUAAUGCACCAGAAAAGUUGCCUGGGACUUGACAAACCUUUCAUUUAACGAACUCUCGACACCUGGCCAGGUCCUUACGAUCAACGGGGAUGAGGAGGAAAUGUUGAUUAGAUAUCUACUCAGAAUGUGUCCAAGAACUUGGCCCAUUUCAUAGAUAUCUGGAGUUGGAAUUUGGAUAGGUUUUAAUGGGGUGCUUUCCUUGGCGAAAAAGCGUAUGAGAAGCUGUCAUGGUUUAAUCAUUUACCUGGUUAGCAUUAAGCAGGUUUCACAAAUUUCGUAGGUAGUACAGCCCUAGACCGAUUCGACAAGACUGACGCAAUCCUCCAACAGUCUAGAGUUGUCCUGGCCUCGUCCUGGCGACUGCUCUCAGGCCUAGGUAUAUCGGGUAUAAUUUACAGAAAUUUCGCUGUAUAGUAACCAUUCUCCGUUAAUGGGGUAUGUAUGCCAUCAGUAAUUUCACGCUCCCACAUUCAUCCUAUUCGAAAACAAGCGACUACGGCACCGAUUGUUUCUUGUUUGUUUUUUUUUGUUUUCAGGAAUGCUUACUUGUAACAAAAAAUACAAAAAUAAAUAACAAACAAAACGAACAGCGCUUCAAUCCUUUGUUUUUCGUAGGAUGAAAAUGGAAGCUACAUGCUUAAUAAGGGAACCAAUGCCCUAGUUAGUCUUUGUUUUCUUAAAUUGAAAUGGAAAACAUAUAGGGUUUGAGUUCCAUAAGUAAUCUCACGCUCACCGGUGGCAUUCGCGCGUUGUUAACCCGUUAUUUGAAACACAUUUUAGGUACAAACCCGAUCAUUACAAAAUAUGACUAUUUAAUGCAUUUAAACGGCACUCAAGUGCCAUAGAGGUGCUAUCAGUGCACUCCUAUGCACGUUAGUGUCAAAGUUACGUUGCAAGUAGCGAAUGUCAUUUGCUCAUUGCAAUGCAAAUGUGUUGCAACAAGUGAACGGCUGCUAUUGUAGAUGGCUUCCUAUGAAAAUAUAGCGACUAGCCGUUGGUUUUUUGGCUAUAUCUCUAAAACGGUAAGAGAUUCCAUUUUGGUGUCAAAAAAACAAAAGGAAGAACAUUAGUUUUUACACUUAGAAAAAUUUUGUUAAAAAUAAUCUAUGAUACAGACGGUACUUUUAACAGCAUUUUUAGACGUUUUUUCUCCAUGGUGAAAAAUUUUCUAAGAAAUUUUUUUCUCAAUGUAUUUCUAUUAGAUUUCUGAGGUAAUUUGGCGUCGAUUUCACUAAAAAAAGUUUGUUCUAUGAUGCAUAGUUUUUUAGAUAUGAUUUAUUGAAGUUUGGGGUAUUUUAGAAAAUUUCGCAAAAUCGUGAAAUUUCAUCUAGCGUUUUCCGGGAAAAUAGUCCACUAUGAUUUUUUUGAAUUUCAUAUAUGAUCAUAUAUACACGACCUCUAGCUCUGGUGAAAUUUUCAUGAAAAUCGGAGACCCUUCGGUUCAAACUGUUCGGUAAUAAAAAAAAAUCCCCACAUGCAUUACCAAAGAUCACAUUCCAAUGGUCAAAGGUUUUUUUUUCAUGCAAAGAAGCAUGCUCCGAAGAUACUAAUAUCGUGAUUUUUUUCCCUGGAUUGAUUAUUCUGGAGUGGGCCAGCCUCCCCUGGGCCAACCCCCUAUUUACGCCAAUGAUUGCAGGACGAUUCGGGGAAGUUUACUGGGGGUUUAGGGAGAUUUCUGAGGUAUUUCAAUAGGAUUUCCGGCGGGUUUCCGAGACGUUGCAGAGGCGUCACAUGGACAUCCUCGUAUUUUAGGAGGAUUUUGGAGGCAAUUCAGAAAGUUUCAGAGGAUUUUCGGCGGGUUAAAAGACGUUUCAGAGGCUUUUUCAGGGGUUUUGGAGAGAUUCGGGGGGUUUCUGAGGCUAACGCACCUGAGACCCUCAGAACCUCCGAAAACGUCCCUGAAGCGCUCUACAAUGCUGCUGUAAUCUGAUGAAAAUCAACUAGAAGUCCCAGAAAUCCCGUCGUCGAACCCCUUAUAACGUACCUGAGACCCUCCGAAAUCCUCGAAAACGACCCUUGAACUUCUUGAAAUGCUACCGAAAUCCUUCUAAACCGUCACGGCCCCAUAUUACUCACCUGAAUCCCUCUAAAACCUCCAAAAUGCCUAUGGAACACAUCUGUCACGUUCCUGAAACCCACUGAAAAUCCUCUGAAACUGUUUAGAUGCUUCAGAAAUCCUCGAAAACGCCUUCGGACUCCAUGUUACCCUAAAACCCCCUAAAACGCUUCUGGAACCUCUCUGAAACAUUCUGCAACCCCUUGAAAUGCCCCUAAAAGUAUCUCGCAACCCCAUAAACCUCUUGAAACUCUCCUGAAACGCCUCCUGAAACAUGAAGUCUUAUUUUUCACAGCUGCCGUGACUUGACUUUUUUACGUGUUUUUUUGCGCCUUAUAAAAUGAACUAUGACUAUGACGCAUUCCCGGCAUUACAGGUAAACAAAAUUGUGCAUUACAACAACACGCAACGAAACGACCGUUUUCUUCCACCUGCAUCAGAGAUCUUAUUGUGUGAACUUGUUGUUAACAGUGAUUGUUGUGAAGAUUUUCAGCCGGAAAGUUGAUUUUGAACGAGUUACUGCACCCAGUGCAGUGCCAAUUCCCGGCACUAGUGCCGAACUUCCAGCAAAAUCAAAUGAGAAAUCACUUCGGCACCCAUCUUUGUGCUGUCGAAGUGCACUCGGCUGCGUGUAAUAGUUGUUUUUGCAAAAUAUGCUUCAGAGUGAACGCGGAAAUGUUGCAGGAGAUGAUUAACUACGAAAGUGCGUUUGGAAAAUAUGCGGCAAGUGAUAUUUUGUUUUUUUUUUUGAUCAAUGAAACAUUGUCGAAUGCUCCAUUCUUUUCGUAAAAUUUAGCAAUAAAAAAAUACAGAUUUUCAUAAGCUAAAAUUCUUUAAAAUAAAUUGGUUGAAACGAUUCCAAGAAUGAUCCAUACAGAAUAGGAAGCAGUCUCUAAAUAAAUAAAUUAUAAAUAAAAAUAUAAAACUAGGGUACCCCUCUGGUCCCAAGACCUUGAAAACGUGAAAAAACAUAUAUAUUUGCAAAUUUUUUUUUUUUCACAAAAAACAAUUUGGCCUAUUUAUCGCAUUUUUCCUGAAAACUAGAAUUCAAUAGCUUUCAAACAAAAAAAGAAGUUUAAAAUCGGUCAACUGAUUCAAAAGUUAUGAUUUUUGAAAAAUUUUAGUUUUUAAAAACCUUGAUUUUAAGAACCACUCUUUCUGAAAAUUUGUCAACGUAAUGACGAAAUAAAAAGAUACGGGUCUUAUUAUUUUCGAAGAGCUACGAACCCACCAAGUUUCACGACAAUCGGAGUUGCACUAUAUCGUUUUCCUAUGGAAUGACUGUAUAGAAAAAUGCUCUAUGCAGGGAAACUGAAUCUGCUUUUGGACUUACACUGGGAAGUACAAUUACCAAACUCCAGAAUAUCCACCAUGUCAACAGUGUGUCGGUUGGUUAAUACAAAGUUUUUCCAGGAUAUUUGCCUGAAACUCCCAAGGAGGUUCUUGGGAAAUUCUUCUGAACAAUUAUUUAGGAUUCCCUCAGAAGUUCCCUCUGGGACUCGUCCAGUAAUUUCUUCUGAGAUUCCUUAACAGUUUCCAUCCGGGAUUCCUCCAGGAAAUUCUCCCUGAGAUUUAUCCUUAUUUCCCUUAUGAGUUCCUUCCAUUGUUUUUCUGGGAUUCCUCAAGGAUUGUCUUCUGAGAUUAUACCAGGAGUUCCUACUGGGAUGCUUCCAGAAAUUUCAUCCAAUUUUUUUUUCUGGAUUCUAGCCUAUGUUCAUUCAGGAAUUCCUUUAAGAACUUCUUCCAUAAUUCCUGCGUUGAACUCCUCCUGAAUUUUUUUUUAUGAAUACUGAGAUGCUUCUAAGAAAUCCUUCCGAGAUUCCUCCAAGAACCUCUUCCGGUAUUCUCCAACAACAUCUUCUUGAAUUCCUGAAGGAACUACUUGCGAAAUUCCUCUAGGAACCUUAUCCGGGAAUUUUCGAAAACAAAAUCUUGACGUAGGACUAGUUGUUUACGUAUACAAUAAAACGCUUUUUUAUUUGCAACAUGCAGAUUUAAUGCACCAAUAAAUGGUGCAAAAAUGUAACAAACUAUGAAAAGUAAAUUUAUCAUUGCAUUUCAAAUGAAAAUGUGAUGGGUUAGGAAUUUUGAAAUGGUGGAAAACAAGGAAACUUUUGGGUCAUGAAAGGGCAAUUAUUGUACAAGUUUAUUCAUUUGCCGCAGCAGAUUAGCAUUAGCAUAAGCAUUGAGCGAGUCGCACAAAUUCGUAGGUGGUACAGUCCUAGACCGCUGUUAUGAGGGUUGCCUCCUUCCCGUCCGAACCAAAGCACAAAGAUUUGGGACUAAUCUCUGACUCUUAGAUAAGACUGACGCAAUUCUCUAAUGGUCGAGCAUUGUCCUGGCCACGUCCUUGCGACUACUGAGGGGUGAGAAAGGAUGGUUAGGUUUCGACACCUACGAAAAAUGUAGACAGCUCUACGAGCUCUCAGGCCUAGGUGCCACGCGAACUUGGGCGUUGUUAGUGGAAGCGUAAACUCCAAAGGAUACGCUUGGUCAACGUUCAGACACACUAUUGUUAGAGGGCUUCGAAUCAUUUGUCUGUCCAAUUCAUCCUGGUUUCCUAGUCAUCUUGAUGGCAUUUGGUUGAAUCAUUAGAUUCUUCGGUUGAUAAUCUGAAAUAUAAAAUAAUAUCAACAUCGUACGUCAAAUAAGCUACAUAUUAAUGAUAGGCUCGCCACAGUUACAUAUUCUUACAAUAUUAUUUAUAUAAAACGAUAAAUUUACCUGCAUCCUGCUGAAAUAAAAUGUUAAUUAGUAGUACAUUGAAACAAAAAUAUUACAAAACUCAAAAAAGUGCAUCAAACUUUGAACUUGGAAUAUUUAUAAACAUGGUAAAUAUCAAGAUCAAAAUUUGAUUUGAUAGAUCUUACACCGCAACGCACCAUUCUAAGAUGAUCUACCCGCGUUCCGGGAUCAUCUUCCGCAGCAGAUUUCCAUUAAAUCGAUUGAUUCGGAAAUAAUCAAGGCUUCAUUGGACAGAGCGUAGUCGCACCUGUUUACUCAUCCGUUGAAGAUCUUUUUGUGAAAUUUUGCUGCCGCUAUCAAUAGUAAUUGAAAACAAUAGUUCCCUCUUAUUGACAAAAUGGCUGGCAAUAUUUCCUACCUUUUAAUGUAAAAACAUCGAAAACCACUAGGUGUUGAAAAUCACCUCAGCAAACAAAGCGGACUCGAUUUUCAAAAUUUUUGAAAGGCACUCGGGUGAAAAGAAAGACGUAGUCCUACGUCAAGGGGUCUCCAGUUAACCUAGUGGUUAAGGCUAUGAAUCGCCAAUCCGGAGACGGCGGGUUUCGAUUCCCGUUCCGGUCGGAGAUAUUUUUUCGACUUCCUGGGCAUAGUGUAUCAUUAUACUUGCCUCACAAUAUACAAAUUCAUGCAAUGGCCGGCAAAGAAACCCCUUCAAUUAAUAACUGUGGAAGUGCUCAAAGAACACUAAGUUGAAGAUAGGCAGGCCAAAUCCCAGUGGGGACAUAAAGCCAAAAAGAAGAAGAACUCCUUCGUCAAAACUUAUCUUGGUAUUUUCCAAGAACUUUUCCGCGAUUCCUCCAGAAAUUUUUCUCGAAAUUCUUUUAGGAAUAAUUUCCGGGGUUGCUUCAAGAACUACUUCCGGGAUUCCUCCGGGAACUCCUUUUGAAAUUUUACCGUGAACUUCUUCGGAGAUUCCUUCAAGGACUUUUUCCGGGAUUCCCCCAUAAGCAUCUUAUGGGAUUCUUUCGGAAAAUCCUCCUAGUUUGUUCUUCAGAAACUGCUUCGGAUUUUUUUUUAUGAACUUCAUCAAGAAUUUCUUCCGGAAGCCUGUGCUGGAUUCUUCCAGGAGCUAUUGCUGAAGUUCCUGCAGGUCCUUCUUGAAUUCUUUUAGAAAUUCAGUCUGGAAUUCUCCUUGAUGUUCAAGGGAGGAAAAUUAUACAGGAUUUUUUUUUGUAGCAUGCUUUAUGGAAUAACUCAAGGACUUCCUUAUGGAGCUCCUACAUGAGUUCCUUAAGGAAUUUAUCCAUCAAUUCCUCCAUCAGCUUAAUAGGCGAUUUCUCUUGGAAUUCCUUCUGGGUUUCCUCCAACAGUUUCUUCCGAGAAUCAUUUUUUUUUUCUAGUAAAUUAUUCUGGACACUAUAGGAAAAAAAAUCGGAAGGCUUCCCGACUAGAAAAAUCUAUCAAGUUUAUAACACAUUGUGUUAUGAUGUUAUAAAAAUUUUCUAUAACUUAUUAUGUUAUAAACUAGGUGCAGGAUGAUGUUAAAAUAACUAAAAUUGUAACAAAAAGUACACCGAUCUAAUCAAAAUAAUAACCUAUUUUGUUAUGAUCUGAUCAAUAUUAUAACAAAAUAUGAUAUAAGUUUUAGCUUCAAGAAAACUAGUUCCUAUCAUAUUUUGAUACAAUUGUACAAAAUGAUUUUCUGAAUGUCAAGUAUUUGAAACUAAAUUAUUUCACAAUGAGUUAUUAAACAUCAUUUAUAACAUAAUAUGAUAUAAUUGAGAUAUAAUAUUUUUAAACCCCAAAGAUAUUAAAACUUGAUUAUAUCACAAUGAGUUAUAAAUAUCAGGGUUUGUUAUAAUAAUGUUAUAUUCUUGUUAGAAUCUUCUAGUCGGGUUCCCAAAAGAAACUAUCAGGAGAAUCUCGGAGACAACUCCUAGAGGAUUUUCGGAAACUCCUGGAAAAAAUCUCGAAAGGAAUUCCUUGAAAUCCCAGAAGAAAUCCAGCAAGAACCCUAGUAAGAACUUUUGAAGUAACGUUAAGAGGAAUCUGGAGUUAUCAAAGAGUAACCUCUAGACUCUAGCUAGAGGAACCCUGGAAUACAUUUCUGAAGGAACCAGGAAAAAAAUACUGGGGUUAUGUCAGAAAUUCACGGAGCCCGUGGCGCAGUGGUCACACUUUCACUUCAUAAGUGAAUGGUCAUGGCUUCGAUCUCAGCCCCGGCACUUGAAAUUUUUCAUUAGCUGCUCUUCCCCCGAGAGCAGCUGGCACUGACCCUCUUCCGAGCCAAUAGCUCUAACGGACCAGAAUUUUUAGUGAACGGUAACUCAUAAUGGACCCUCAAUCGGCCUGGAAAACGAACAAGAGCCACACAUCAACAUAAUUGUGCUCAUCCUUCUAGUAUGGAAGGCUGAAAGUCUCUAAAAUAAAGCGAAUUGAAUUGAAUUCUAGUAUGGACAGAGUAGAGAGUGAAAGCAGCACAUUGUUAACCAGUUCGAUAAAGUAGAAUAGAAUAGGGUGCCAUCAAUAAUUUCACGCUCCCAUAUUCAUCCUAUUCGAAAACCAGCGAUUACGGUACCGAUUGAUUCCGUUCUUUUUUCGAAUGAGUGUAAUCAGUUUCAUACCUUUUAAUUCCGCCCUAUUUUAUUUUAAAAAAGGGCGGAAUUAAAAGGUACGAAACUGAUUACACUCAUUCGAAGAGGGUAUUCUGCAUAGAGGGUUCGAAAAGUCGGUACAACACCGUUCUUUUUGUUUUCAUGGGUGCUCACUUCUAACAAAAAAAAACCCUAACCAUACAAUUGGACGCUGUAGAAAGUGUAACCCGAGCAGAAGGGAAUAACAUCAGCAUAAGCGGCAAAAUAACAAAUAUCAUAACAAAAAAAUUUUCUUGGAAAACCAUUUUGAUAACUUGUUUUGUUAGUUUUAAUGACAACUUAAGAACAGUGAAUUCGGAGAAUAUUUCAUUAACAAAUUUUGAUAUUAGGGGGAUUCACUUAACAGCGUAAACUGAUUAAACUGAUUAAACGUCGCGAUCACCAAGGCAAUCUUUGAUUAUUUCAUUCGCAAAAUCAUGAAACAUUUCAAAUAGCAUAGCAUAGCAUAGCAUGAAUACUUGCACAAAUCUUGGAUGGAGUUGCAAAGUUGAAUAUAUCCAUUGACAUUGCUGAUGUCGCUACUAUCUACAAUGUCAUAGAUUCACUCAGCUCCACACAUCUGGCCAAGUCCUUGCAAGCAUUUAUAAAUCCCUUCAUCAACUUAGAAAGAGCCCAGAACUGAAGCAGCUUCCAAUAGAUGAAAGAAUGUUGAAAAUAGCGAAUUUUCAACUUAUAUGGAGUUAUAUAGCAAAUAUAUACUGAAGUAGAAUUAUUUAUAAAUAAAUAAUAUUGGAAAGAUCUCACCAAUUAUUGUGUGGUUUUUGUGAUUCAAUGCCGAUCAUCUAAUUGUCUUGAUUAAUGUUCUUCUCUGCAAAGAACAACACAAUACUGAACACUAAACACCCGCGCAUCUAUUGUUUUGAUUUUGACGCGAGACAAUAGCGAACGCGAUCGAUUAUGCUGCCAUACUCACCCCUUACAGGAGCGAUGUAUGCACAGCAAAGAACAACACAAUACUCAAAAAUCAUGAAACAUUUCAAAUAAGCAGAAAAUCAUGGCUUACGCAGCAAUUUAAUCUGUUUAGUGAGUACCCCUAUUAAUUUGUUAUUGAUAAUAAUCGAAAAGCUAAAUUUAUUAUGAUAUCAAAAUCGUAACUAAGUAAAUUAUGAUACUUAUUAUAUAAAAUUAUUCCCUUUGUCUCACAAACCCACAAAUAACAUGAGUAACAAUUCUUUAAAUGAUCGAAAAAUACUAUAUUAAAUUUUUAAUUCACUCAAAGAUAAUGUAAAAGAAAAAAUCCUCCGGAAAUUUCUCCGAAAGUUCUUCCACGAAAUCAUUCACCUAGUCAUUCACAGACUUCAAAGACUCCUCUAGAAAUUCCUCCAUAAUUAUGAACCGAAUCCCUUCAAGGAUUUUUUCAGAAUUUCCCGUGAUUAUUUGACCCGAAUUUCAUUUUGCGAUUUCUCUGAAAAUUUCUUUGAGAAUUUCACCAGGAUUUUUUUUUUCAGAAGAAUUUUCCUGGAAUUUUUCAAAAAAAUUUGUCAAGAAAUCAAAUAAUUGCUCAGAAGAAUAAUUUUUGCAAUUUUUAAGAAGAUUGCGCCAGGAGUUCUUUUGAAGACUUCUCCAGACUAUCGAAAGGUUCCCCCAGAACUUCCAAGUGUUUUCCUGAAUAUUAUUGAAGGAAUUUUCAGAGGAUUCAUUCGGAAAUUUCCUUCUUAACUGAAUACAUAAAUGGAACAAAACAAAAGGACAGGUUAUCAAAUUGUCGCUUUGAUUUCAAAACUUGUUACUAUUGUGCUGUUGUUGAUAAGUUGAUCAAUAGUACAACAAUAACAAAACUUGUACUUCAAUAAAAGUGUAAUUGAAAUGUAAUUGAGUGAAUGCAUGUGAAUAGCUUGAUUAUAACUAAAAGAGUUUGUCCAACAAAAUUUGUUUUGGAAAAGCUAUGCCUUACUAAUUAAAUAAUAACAUAACAAGAUAUAAAAACAGGUUAUGUGAUUUCGUAGUUAUUAAUUUGAUAUUCUCCUCUGCUCCUUGCAAGUGGCUAAUAGAGAUGUACAUUAGGCUAAGCGGUUAAGAAUAAAAAAGCAGCAAUUUUAUAAGGCAUUCAACAGAAAUUUGAUGAAAAGUCAUAUGGAACUGUUAUGCGAGUUGGGGCUGUACGGUCCAUACUAAUUUUCAAAAGAAAAUAAAUGUAUGCGUAUAAGUCUACGAGGGACGAGGGUGGUGUGGUCUGAGAACCAAAAAUUGUUCUACGUAGUUUAUGGACAGCACCAUUGUAGUGUCCGAAUUCACUACUGCUGGGCAUUGACUGUUGAUUUUUCAAGUUUGGUAUGUCCAUUAGUGGGCCAAACCAAGCGUCGAAACGUCCGUCGGAUGAAAGGGUAUCACCCCGCAUCUAAUUUGUACUGACCGAAAUUCCAACCGUAGAGUGAUUACUUUGCCAAUUUAUCAAUCGUUUCCACAAUUUUCUCCUCGGGAACGUCCAUAAAUUACGUCACGCUUUUAGGGGGAGGGGGGGGUGUGGAUUCAGUAAGGUGUGACAACCCAUACAAAAAUUUCAGAGGUCUCAUACAAAAAGUGUGACAGAGGGGGGUUGAAGGGGCAAUAUUUGCGAGACGUGAUUUAUAGAUGCUCCGCUACUAAUAAACUGUGAACACGCAAUAAGUGGGUAAUCAGCCACAUAUGGAACUUGGGAUACAUGGAAAUACUCCUAGCGUCACCAAUGCCUAUCCCAACUAUAUUCUUAGGAAUAACUCAACCAUCAUCAUCAACGUCAUCGUUAACCCCAAAAAAACCUUACCUUACUCAUUAUGGAUCCCCGCGAGGUUCAUUUCGCCACUCGUCGAUGUCGUCAUAAACCAGCGUGGUGCGCAAGCAUAGAUUCUCUAGUGUUUAUUUUGGCGUCAAUCAUUUGUGGACAAAGAGAUAAGAUAACUCGCGGAGUGUCGCAUUGGGCACGCUGCCGCUGCUGCGCCGCCGCAGCCCCAUCGACUUCAACCGCAAGGUGUGCGUACUAUACUAUAUUGAUUGCACCCAUUCGGGUCGGAACUAGUUGCCGGCGAGUGCCGAUCGUUGUUGGAAGAAUUUCUAGCACAUUUCACAGAACAGAAUGAAACUUUUCCACUUUCUCGUAAUCUUUCUGGUUGUGGUGGCCGGUUGUCUGGAGUCGGCACGAUCGGUUCGGGUGAUCUUCCGGAAAAGCUUGCGAUCCUCCAACGAUAACAUAGCGCACGUUUUGCGAUCACCCAAUGCCACCAGCUGUCCCCAGGGACAAAAAGUGGAUCGAAGGGGAACCUGCCGAUUAUCUGUAGAUUUUUAAGAUAGCUUUUAGGUGUUCCAUUCCAAGGACAGUGGAUCAAUCGUCGACGUGAAGAUGUUCUGAAUUACAAGAGUGUGACGCUUUUGUCAGUAUAGUUCGAUAAGUUUACCGUGAUGUGUAUUUGUGCCAAUCAACCACUUGAGUUGUAAUGAAUGAUGUGCUUAAUGUGUAAUAAACUAAGCUUAACAGUG